rnacentral:misc_RNA from 1 species
GAUGAAGAACGUAGCGAAAUGCGAUAAGUAAUGUGAAUUGCAGAAUUCAGUGAAUCAUCGAAUCUUUGAACGCACAUUGCGCCCGCCAGUAUUCUGGCGGGCAUGCCUGUUCGAGCGUCAUUUCAACCAUCAAGCCCCGGGCUUGUGUUGGGGACCUGCGGCUGCCGCAGGCCCUGAAAAGCAGUGGCGGGCUCGCUGUCACACCGAGCGUAGUAGCAUACAUCUCGCUCUGGGCGUGCUGCGGGUUCCGGCCGUUAAACCCCCUUUAACCCAAGGUUGACCUCGGAUCAGGUAGGAAGACCCGCUGAACUUAAGCAUAUCAAUAAGCGGAGGA